UUAAAGUAAAUAUUCCAUGACACCAUGACUCAGUAUUUCACCAUUUGGUAAAAAUAUAUAAAUCUUACAAAUAAUUUACCCAAACUCUAGACUUCGAGAGCGUGGACUGUGCUUGUGCAAUCCUCUCUCGGUCAUUGUCUAAUGUGGAAGGAGUUGUGCUUGAUGGUUGCAGCCUGUAAUUAGUGAGAUCAGUAAUCAAGACAGCUGUGAUGUAUUUUCCUUCAAGAACUAAAAGAGUGAGGACAUCUGUCUGAGAUGAAUGAAAUGGUCAAAUAUAAAUGAACCUAAAUUUGCUGUGUUGUGUGGUUCUUUUCAGGGAGAAAAGAGAGUAUAUGUCCCUCAUGAGAAUAUUUCUUCAGCAUCAAAAUUGAGUAACGUUUACUUCCUGGCAACAGAAUUUUAUGUCCCAGACAGGAUCUAUGCAGAAGAGGAGACACAUUUCAAGAGCCAGAGGUUAUGUAUGACUCAAAAGAAAAAAAAAUGUCUUCCAAACACAACAGGACUGUUGCAUAUAUAAACUCACAGAGACUGUGGCAGCAUGUCAAAGUUCCACAAAGAUUCAAGCUAGAGGGGAGGCUGAUCAUAGACGCCCUACACCCAGCUAAGAGGCUAUCUGCAUUGAUGUCCACUGGUGGGAAUGAGGGUUUUGGCUACCAAGUGUAUCUAUUCUCUGACUUCAGUGUCUAGAAGAACAUUAAAAAGAAAAGGAAUAGAGAAAGAAAGAAGCAAGCAAGCAAACAAACAAAGAGAAGUAGUCCUUUUGAGGCAGAAGCAUUUAGUCCUCUGAGAGUCUCCAUCCAGAAGCUGACUGAGAGAGAUGCAGAUACCCACAGCCAAACAGUGGACAGAGCUUGGGGACUCUUAUGGAAGAAUAGGAGGAAGAAUUGCUGGCCCUGAAGGAGAUAACUCCAUAGGAAGACCAACAGAGUCAGCUAACCUGGACCCUUCGGGCUUACAGAGACUGCCAUCAACAAAAGAACAUAGAUGGGCUGGACCUAGGCCUCUAUGCUCAUAUAUAGCAGAUGUUUAGCUUGGUCUUCAUGUGAGUCCUAAACAACUGAAACAGGGGCUAUUCCUAAAGCUGUUGCCUGUCUGUGGGAUAUGUUCGGCUAGGUGGGCUGCCUUGUCAGGCCUCAGUGGGAGACGAAGCUCCUAACCUCAGGGAGACUUGAAGUACCUAGGUGAGGGGAAUAUACUCAGGAGGGGACCCUGCCCACUCAAAGGAGAAAGGAAGUGUGAUGUGGGAGGGGUUGUGGGAGGGGAUUCCUGGGAUACAAGUCAGGGAGUGGGAUGUAGAGUGAAUAAGUAAAAAAAUUAAAUUAAAUUAAAUUAAAAUACGAAUUUUACUUUUAAAAAGAAUUUUCUCCUCAUUGGUAAGUUUUGCUUCUUUAUACACAUGAAUUCUUUACAGAGCUGUUUCAAAUGUUUUGUAGCAUUGCUUAUAUGUUUCAGUUAUGAGCCAUAAAGAAUGACUGUAAUAAAAUGACUGUGUAAAAAUAGAUUAGCACUAGUUAAGGAUUCAUUGUCAAACUUUCUAAACUUUCAUUAAAUGUGCAUAUGCACAUAAAAAAUCUAUUGGUGUUCUCAGGUGUGCUAAAAUGAACAGUGCACUUAGACACCUUCUUGCUACUGUAGUUUUUUGAAAAACAAAUGUUCUGUUUCUCCAAUCUCCCAAAACAAAAACAAAAAUAACCCUUGUCCAGCCUUUCCAGAAACAAGUUGAGCCUCUUGGACCCUGAGCCAGCUACAUCUGAGAGCGUAAGGCAGCAGAUCUUCAAGCAGGACUUUGAGUAAAAUAUUUUCAGAUGUCCACAGUUCCUGGAAUAGGAAUAUAUUCCAAUUUUUCACACUGAUUUGAAGGUUUUGUUUGGUAUUAAAGAUCAUAAAACAAAGAGAAUUUGUGACUUGGAGUCCUCAAAUAGCUCAGGUGAUAUAUUUGCAUGAUUUGAAUGCAUUCUU
rnacentral:lncRNA from 1 species